AACGAACGCUGGCGGCAUGCCUAACACAUGCAAGUCGAACGGGAUCCUGGUUUCGGCCAGGUGAGAGUGGCGGACGGGUGAGUAACGCGUGGGAACCUGCCCAGUGGUGGGGGAGUAACUGCGGGAAACUGCAGCUAAUACCGCAUGAGCCCGAAAGGGGAAAGAUUGAUCGCCAUUGGAGGGGCCCGCGUUCGAUUAGGUAGUUGGUGAGGUAAUGGCUCACCAAGCCUUCGAUCGAUAGCUGGUCUGAGAGGAUGAUCAGCCACACUGGGACUGAGAUACGGCCCAGACUCCUACGGGAGGCAGCAGUGGGGAAUAUUGGACAAUGGGGGCGAACCCUGAUCCAGCAAUGCCGCGUGAGUGA
rnacentral:rRNA from 1 species